GUUUGAAUGGUGAGUAGGAGAGAGUAGUAUUGAUUGAAGAGGAAGAAAAGAGGCUCGAAUCAGGGACUCUCGCAAGGCGAGCCCCUGCUAGAGCGCUUCCCGCCUGCAGCUUGAAUCCCGGGUUCCACACAGGAAGAGGAGGGACCAGGCUCCUCCCUGCUCCAAAGGGCACGAACUUCUGUGUCUCCACCCCAGUGCGCAUUUCUCCUAGUGCGCAGGCUCGUUGGAGGUUUUCCGGGGACCCUUUCCAACCUGGCUGUCUCAAAGGGAACCAGAUUAUGCAAGGCUUUGUGUUCCAGCUUAGGCUAAACCAAGAACAACUUUAUCCUAAGGUCAAGAGGAAAUAUUUGAUAGGUUCUAAAGAAGGGAGGAGGAAACUGAGACCCAGGCAGAAGAAUUUGUUCUUCAAACUGCGAAAGCAGAGCUACCCCAAUUCAUCCACACACAUAGUAUUUCAGAGAAAAAAAGAAAACCCUAUGAUGGCAAGCAGUCAUAAGGAUGAAUGAGUGGCUUGAUCUCGGCUCAUUGCAACCUUCGCCUCCUGGGUUCAAGCAAUUCUACCUGCCUAGCCUCCCGAGUAGCUGGGAUUACAGGCACCCUGCAUCACAACGGCAUCACGCAUUCGAAUUUAGUAUUUUAGAGUGAUCUUAAUAGGUUUUCUACCAGGUGAACUACGUGGUCAUGGAAGCACUGUUGAUGGUGUGGCACUACUGCCUGUUCUUCAAAGAAAAAUUCAAACCCCUAUUGCCGGCUUUGAAAAUGGAAGAAGAAUGCCCUGAUUCAAGGAAUGUAGUGGCCUCUAGCAUUUGGCAAGGAAGAAGGGAAGGAACACACCCUCACAGGCUCUUCCCUGGCUGCAUUCAUGCACUGUGUCCCGCUUCUCAGUGGAACCAGCUAUCAGCACCAUGGACAGAACCCGGGAGAUUGGGUCCUCAGAGCAAGUAAAAUGAUUCAGGAGUGUCUGGCCAAGGCACUAACUACAGAGAUUUUUAUUUCAUGUGAAUAAACAGUUUUCUGUUUGACUUCAAGGCCAGGAUCCCGUUUUCCUUUUGCAGUUCUUCUGAGGAAGUUAAUGUUAAUGAGCACAAGAUGAAACUUAGCUUCAACAUGAUCUGUACUUUACACAUCAAAAUAAAGAAGAUUACCAACACAGUCACAGACACAGAAUGGAAGAUGCAUGGAUUCUCAGAUUGACGAAGCCCACCAAACUCUGAGCUCCUAGACAAAAAUGCUGUAGAACAACAAAGAAAAAGACAAAGUCAUACAAGCAGCCAUAAGGGAAGGACUGAUUAUCACAAAAUAAACACAAAUUAGACUGUAAGAAGACCUCUCUGCAGCACAGUAGAGAGGAGAAG
rnacentral:lncRNA from 10 species